CGACGCUGAUGCGUUGUUGGGUAGGGGAGCGUUCUGUAAGCCUGUGAAGGUGGCCUGUGAGGGUUGCUGGAGGUAUCAGAAGUGCGAAUGCUGACAUAAGUAACGAUAAAGCGGGUGAAAAGCCCGCUCGCCGGAAGACCAAGGGUUCCUGUCCAACGUUAAUCGGGGCAGGGUGAGUCGACCCCUAAGGCGAGGCCGAAAGGCGUAGUCGAUGGGAAACGGGUUAAUAUUCCCGUACUUGGUGUUACUGCGAAGGGGGGACGGAGAAGGCUAUGUUGGCCGGGCGACGGUUGUCCCGGUUUAAGCGUGUAGGUGUGUGUUCCAGGUAAAUCCGGUUCACUUUAACACUGAGGCGUGAUGACGAGGCACUACGGUGCUGAAGCAACAAAUGCCCUGCUUCCAGGAAAAGCCUCUAAGCAUCAGGUAACAUCAAAUCGUACCCCAAACCGACACAGGUGGUCAGGUAGAGAAUACCAAGGCGCUUGAGAGAACUCGGGUGAAGGAACUAGGCAAAAUGGUGCCGUAACUUCGGGAGAAGGCACGCUGACACGUAGGUGAAGUGAUUUACUCAUGGAGCUGAAGUCAGUCGAAGAUACCAGCUGGCUGCAACUGUUUAUUAAAAACACAGCACUGUGCAAACACGAAAGUGGACGUAUACGGUGUGACGCCUGCCCGGUGCCGGAAGGUUAAUUGAUGGGGUCAGCGCAAGCGAAGCUCCUGAUCGAAGCCCCGGUAAACGGCGGCCGUAACUAUAACGGUCCUAAGGUAGCGAAAUUCCUUGUCGGGUAAGUUCCGACCUGCACGAAUGGCGUAAUGAUGGCCAGGCUGUCUCCACCCGAGACUCAGUGAAAUUGAACUCGCUGUGAAGAUGCAGUGUACCCGCGGCAAGACGGAAAGACCCCGUGAACCUUUACUAUAGCUUGACACUGAACAUUGAGCCUUGAUGUGUAGGAUAGGUGGGAGGCUUUGAAGUGUGGACGCCAGUCUGCAUGGAGCCGACCUUGAAAUACCACCCUUUAAUGUUUGAUGUUCUAACGUGGACCCGUUACCCGGGUUGCGGACAGUGUCUGGUGGGUAGUUUGACUGGGGCGGUCUCCUCCUAAAGAGUAACGGAGGAGCACGAAGGUUGGCUAAUCCUGGUCGGACAUCAGGAGGUUAGUGCAAUGGCAUAAGCCAGCUUGACUGCGAGCGUGACGGCGCGAGCAGGUGCGAAAGCAGGUCAUAGUGAUCCGGUGGUUCUGAAUGGAAGGGCCAUCGCUCAACGGAUAAAAGGUACUCCGGGGAUAACAGGCUGAUACCGCCCAAGAGUUCAUAUCGACGGCGGUGUUUGGCACCUCGAUGUCGGCUCAUCACAUCCUGGGGCUGAAGUAGGUCCCAAGGGUAUGGCUGUUCGCCAUUUAAAGUGGUACGCGAGCUGGGUUUAGAACGUCGUGAGACAGUUCGGUCCCUAUCUGCCGUGGGCGCUGGAGAACUGAGGGGGGCUGCUCCUAGUACGAGAGGACCGGAGUGGACGCAUCACUGGUGUUCGGGUUGUCAUGCCAAUGGCACUGCCCGGUAGCUAAAUGCGGAAGAGAUAAGUGCUGAAAGCAUCUAAGCACGAAACUUGCCCCGAGAUGAGUUCUCCCUGAGACUUUAGGUCUCCUGAAGGAACGUUGAAGACGACGACGUUGAUAGGCCGGGUGUGUAAGCGCAGCGAUGCGUUGAGCUAACCGGUACUAAUGAACCGUGAGGCUUAACCUU
rnacentral:rRNA from 1 species